rnacentral:rRNA from 1 species
UGGGGAAUAUUGCACAAUGGGCGCAAGCCUGAUGCAGCCAUGCCGCGUGUGUGAAGAAGGCCUUCGGGUUGUAAAGCACUUUCAGCGGGGAGGAAGGCGUUAAGGUUAAUAACCUUGGCGAUUGACGUUACCCGCAGAAGAAGCACCGGCUAACUCCGUGCCAGCAGCCGCGGUAAUACGGAGGGUGCAAGCGUUAAUCGGAAUUACUGGGCGUAAAGCGCACGCAGGCGGUCUGUCAAGUCGGAUGUGAAAUCCCCGGGCUCAACCUGGGAAAUGCAUUCGAAACUGGCAGGCUAGAGUCUUGUAGAGGGGGGUAGAAUUCCAGGUGUAGCGGUGAAAUGCGUAGAGAUCUGGAGGAAUACCGGUGGCGAAGGCGGCCCCCUGGACAAAGACUGACGCUCAGGUGCGAAAGCGUGGGGAGCAAACAGGA